rnacentral:rRNA from 1 species
GACGAACGCUGGCGGCGUGCUUAACACAUGCAAGUCGAACGGAAAGGCCCUGCUUUUGUGGGGUGCUCGAGUGGCGAACGGGUGAGUAACACGUGAGUAACCUGCCCUUGACUUUGGGAUAACUUCAGGAAACUGCGGCUAAUACCGGAUAGGAGCUCCUGCUGCAUGGUGGGGGUUGGAAAGUUUCGGCGGUUGGGGAUGGACUCGCGGCUUAUCAGCUUGUUGGUGGUGUAGUGGCUUACCAAGGCUUUGACGGGUAGCCGGCAUGGGAGGGUGACCGGCCACAUUGGGACUGAGAUACGGCCCAGACUCCUACGGGAGGUAGCAGUGGGGAAUAUUGCACAAUGGGCGGAAGCCUGAUGCAGCAACGCCGCGUGCGGGAUGACGGCCUUCGGGUUGUAAACCGCUUUCGACUGUGACGAAGAGUGAGUGACGGUAAUGGGUAAAGAAGCACCGGCUAACUACGUG